rnacentral:tRNA from 6 species
GUCCCGUUCGUCUAGAGGCCUAGGACGCCGCCCUCUCACGGCGGCAACACGAGUUCGAAUCUCGUACGGGACGCCA